GUCAGCCGCCGCGGUAACACCGGCAGCUCUAGUGGUAGCUGUUUUAUUGGGCCUAAAGCGUUCGUAGCCGGUUUGAUAAGUCACUGGUGAAAUCCUGUAGCUUAACUGUGGGAAUUGCUGGUGAUACUGUUGAACUUGAGGUCGGGAGAGGUUAGCGGUACUCCCAGGGUAGAGGUGAAAUUCUGUAAUCCUGGGAGGACCACCUGUGGCGAAGGCGGCUAACUGGAACGAACCUGACGGUGAGGGACGAAAGCUAGGGGCGCGAACCGGAUUAGAUACCCGGGUAGUCCUAGCCGUAAACGAUGCGGACUUGGUGUUGGGAUGGCUUUGAGCCGCUCCGGUGCCGAAGGGAAGCUGUUAAGUCCGCCGCCUGGGAAGUACGGUCGCAAGACUGAAACUUAAGGAAUUGGCGGGGGAGCACCACAACGCGUGGAGCCUGCCGGUUUAAUUGGAUUCAACGCCGGACAUCUCACCAGGAGCGACAGCUGUAUGAUUACCAGGCUGAUGACCUUGUUUGACUAGCUGAGAGUAGAGGUGCAUGG
rnacentral:rRNA from 1 species